UCCUUAAACUAGUGGUUAGGCCUCGGCGCUCUCAUGGCCACGGCCUGGGUUCGGUUCCCAGACAGGGAA
rnacentral:tRNA from 1 species